rnacentral:rRNA from 1 species
CUACGGGGGGCACCAGUUAGGGAUUUUUUGCAAUGCGCGCAAGCGUGACAAAGCGAGCCAAAGUGUUUUUCUUUUAUGAAAAACUUUUGCCAGCUGCAAAAAGGCUGGCGAAUAAGGACUGGGCAAGACCGGUGCCAGCCGCCGCGGUAAUCCCGGCAGUCCAAGUCGCAGCCACAAUUAUUGGGUCUAAAACAUCCGUAGCUUGCUUUGCAAGUCUGUUGUGAAAUUCUUUCUCUUAAGGGAAGAGAUUGCAAUAGAUACUGUCUAGCUAGAGACCAGUGGGCGUAAGAAGUACAUUCGAGGUAGUGGUAAAAUACGUUAAUCUCGAGUGGACUAACGAUUAGCGAAGGCAUCUUACGAUGACGGUUCUGACAGUGAGGGAUGAAGGCUAGGGGCGCAAAUUGGAUUAGAUACCCUGGUAGUC